UACGAAGGGGGCUAGCGUUGCUCGGAAUUACUGGGCGUAAAGCGCACGUAGGCGGCUUCUUAAGUCGGUGGUGAAAUCCUGGAGCUCAACUCCAGAACUGCCUUCGAUACUGGGAGCUCGAGUCCGGGAGAGGUGAGUGGAACUGCGAGUGUAGAGGUGAAAUUCGUAGAUAUUCGCAAGAACACCAGUGGCGAAGGCGGCUCACUGGCCCGGUACGUGACGCUGAGGUGCGAAAGCGUGGG
rnacentral:rRNA from 1 species